UUCCCUGUUCCUUUUGAUAAGUGAAGCCUCACAUCUUUCGAAGAUCUAAGUAAAAUGAGAAAAAAUGAUUGGGGUAGGCUCAUCCUUGAUUAUGUAUUUGACUAUCCUUCUGUUGGAAGUGAAUGAUAUUCAACAUUUAGUGAAUCAGGUCAGGUGUGGCGGGUCUCCAGAUGUGGGGAUUAGAAAAAAAAAAAAACCUUCCCCAAUUACACCACGUACAUCGAGUAAUCCAUAGGGAGGGGAAUCGAACUUGUGUUUGUGGGGAGCAAACCCACGACCAAAGUCGUUUGCCCAAACUCAUAACAGCUAAUCCACGGGGAGGGGAAUCACACUCAUGUCUAUGGGGAGCAAAACCAUGACCAAAGCCAUUCACCCAAACUCGUGACGGGUUUUGGGAAUUUUUUUUGAUUUU